rnacentral:misc_RNA from 1 species
CAACCCUCAAGUCCCCUGUGGACUCGGUGUUGGGGACCGGCGAGACAGCCGCGGAUCUUCUUCCGCAGCGAGUCGCCGCCCCCCAAAUGACUUGGCGGCCUCGUCGCGGCCCUCCUCUGCGUAGUAUAGCACACCUCGCAACAGGAGCCCGGCGAAUGGCCACUGCCGUAAAACCCCCCAACUUUUUCAGAG